rnacentral:rRNA from 1 species
AAUUGGAGGGCAAGUCUGGUGCCAGCAGCCGCGGUAAUUCCAGCUCCAAUAGCGUAUAUUAAAGUUGUUGCAGUUAAAAAGCUCGUAGUUGAAUUUCGGGGUCAGCAGGUUGGUCGUGCCACUGGUAUGUACUGGCCUUGCUGAUUCCUCCUUCUUGAUGAGCCGUAAUGCCAUUAAUUUGGUGUUGCGGGGAAUCAGGACUGUUACUUUGAAAAAAUUAGAGUGUUUAAAGCAGGCAAGCGCUUGAAUACAUUAGCAUGGAAUAAUGAAAUAGGACGUUCGAUCCUAUUUUGUUGGUUUCUAGGAUUGACGUAAUGAUUAAUAGGGAUAGUUGGGGGCAUUAGUAUUCAAUUGUCAGAGGUGAAAUUCUUGGAUUUAUUGAAGACUAACUACUGCGAAAGCAUUUGCCAAGGAUGUUUUCAUUAAUCAAGAACGAAAGUUAGGGGAUCGAAGACGAUCAGAUACCGUCGUAGUCUUAACCAUAAACUAUGCCGACUAGGGAUCGGAUGAUGUUAAUUUUUUAAUGACUCAUUCGGCGCCUUACGGGAAACCAAAGUGU